UGGCGGCGUGCCUAAUACAUGCAAGUGGAACGCAUGAUUGAUACCGUAGCUUGCUACACCAUUAAUCAUGAGUCGCGAACGGGUGAGUAACGCGUAGGUAACCUGCCUACUAGCGGGGGAUAACUAUUGGAAACGAUAGCUAAUACCGCAUAAGAGUUUUUAACACAUGUUAGAAAUUUAAAAGGAGCAAAUGCUUCACUAGUAGAUGGACCUGCGUUGUAUUAGCUAGUUGGUAAGGUAACGGCUUACCAAGGCGACGAUACAUAGCCGACCUGAGAGGGUGAUCGGCCACACUGGGACUGAGACACGGCCCAGACUCCUACGGGAGGCAGCAGUAGGGAAUCUUCGGCAAUGGGGGGAACCCUGACCGAGCAACGCCGCGUGAGUGAAGAAGGUUUUCGGAUCGUAAAGCUCUGUUGUAAGAGAAGAACGUUGAGUAGAGUGGAAAGUUACUCAAGUGAUGGUAUCUUACCAGAAAGGGACGGCUAACUACGUGCCAGCCGCCGC
rnacentral:rRNA from 1 species